rnacentral:rRNA from 1 species
CCUACGGGUGGCAGCAGUAGGGAAUUUUGCGCAAUGGGGGAAACCCUGACGCAGCAACACCGCGUGAAUGUUAAGCCCUUCGGGGUGUAAAGUUCUGUCAAUAGGGACGAAUUUUGACUGUACCUAUAAAGUAAGCACCGGCUAAUUCCGUGCCAGCAGCCGCGGGAACACGGGGGGUGCAAGCGUUGUCCGGAAUCAUUGGGGGUAAAGCGUGCGUAGGCGGUAUGUCAAGUCUGAUGUUAAAGCGCGGGGAUCAACUCCGGUUCGGCAUUGGAUACUGGCAAACUAGAGUGUGGUAGAGGUAGAGGGAAUUCCUGGUGUAGCGGUGAAAUGCGUAGAUAUCAGGAAGAACAUCGGUAGCGAAAGCACUUUACUGGACCAUUAUUGACGCUGAGGAACGAAAGCCAGGGGAGCAAAUGGGAUUAGAUACCCCUGUAGUC